rnacentral:rRNA from 1 species
AUUGAACGCUGGCGGCAUGCCUUACACAUGCAAGUCGAACGGUAACAGGGAGCUUGCUCCGCUGACGAGUGGCGAACGGGUGAGUAAUGUAUCGGAACGUACCAUUCAGUGGGGGAUAACGUAGCGAAAGUUACGCUAAUACCGCAUAUUCUGUGAGCAGGAAAGCAGGGGAUCGCAAGACCUUGCGCUGAUUGAGCGGCCGAUAUCAGAUUAGCUAGUUGGUGAGGUAAAGGCUCACCAAGGCGACGAUCUGUAGCGGGUCUGAGAGGAUGAUCCGCCACACUGGAACUGAGACACGGUCCAGACUCCUACGGGAGGCAGCAGUGGGGAAUUUUGGACAAUGGGGGCAACCCUGAUCCAGCCAUGCCGCGUGAGUGAAGAAGGCCUUCGGUUGUAAGACUCUUUCGGUCCGGGAAAAGUACGACAUCAGUUAAUAACCUGGUGUGGAUGAUGGUACCGGAAGUAAGAAGACACCGGCUAACUAACGUGCC